rnacentral:rRNA from 1 species
UACGGAGGGGACUAGCGUUGUUCGGAAUUACUGGGCGUAAAGCGCACGUAGGCGGAUUGUUAAGUCAGAGGUGAAAUCCCGGAGCUCAACUUCGGAACUGCCUUUGAUACUGGCAAUCUCGAGUCCGGAAGAGGUUAGUGGAAUUCCCAGUGUAGAGGUGAAAUUCGUAGAUAUUGGGAAGAACACCAGUGGCGAAGGCGGCUAACUGGUCCGGUACUGACGCUGAGGUGCGAAAGCGUGGGUAGCAAACAGG